rnacentral:lncRNA from 1 species
UAUAAAGAGACUUUUCUGAUUCUAGUCGCAAGUGAAAAUAUUUUUUAAGUGAAAAAAGUAGUACUUGAGAGAUUUACAUAAGGAAUAAAAUAAGUGGAGGACAAAAAAAUCGGGAUCUAGACUCUACAAAUCACAAAGUUGCUAAAUAGUGUGAAUAUAGAUUAAUUUCAUGCAGAUUUUUAUAAAUAUAGUGAAUUAUAAAUAUAUUUCUAUAAAAUUUAAUUUUUAUAUAUUAUUUCUAUAAAAAUCCAGAUGUUUUCAAAUAUCUUUCUGCGGUUAGAAUCAGUUAAAAAAUUUUAGUUAACUAUAGAAUUAAACACUUAAUCCUAAUUAGUUAAUGAGGUGAAUUGACUCUUUUUUUACUCCUCUUUAAUUAACAGUUGAAAUUUUUAGAGGAAUAUAAUUAUGAUGGCAAAAAGGUCAUUUCACUCAUAAAAUAAAUAGUACUUUAACAGUAACAAAUGAGAGAGAUAUAUUUAAAAAUAUUAGAAUUUUUUUAGAGAAAAUAUUUGAAAGUUAAACUUUGCAGAAAUAAAUAAAUUUAUAAUUUACUAUAUUUGCAAGGACUUAUAUGAAAUUAAUCUGAAAAUUUUGUUUGGGG